rnacentral:misc_RNA from 1 species
UUUCCGUAGGUGAACCUGCGGAAGGAUCAUUAACGAGUUAGGGUCUUCCAGGCCCGACCUCCCAACCCUAUGUUUAUUGAACCUCUGUUGCUUCGGCGGACCCGCCUCACGGCCGCCGGAGGACCGCUGCAAGGCGUCCUCUGGCCAGCGUCCGCCGAUGGCCAACCACUUAAACUCUGAAUGAAUCGUGUCAUAUGUCUAAGUCUAUGAUUAAAUUAAAGCAAAACUUUCAACAACGGAUCUCUUGGUUCUG